GACGUAGGGCGCGAGCGUUUGUCCGGAUUUAUUGGGCGUAAAGAGCUCGUAGGCGGCUUGUCGCGUCGACUGUGAAAACCCGAGGCUCAACUUCGGGCUUGCAGUCGAUACGGGCAGGCUAGAGUUCGGUAGGGGAGACUGGAAUUCCUGGUGUAGCGGUGAAAUGCGCAGAUAUCAGGAGGAACACCGAUGGCGAAGGCAGGUCUCUGGGCCGAUACUGACGUGAGGCGCGAAAGCUAGGGGGAGCGAACGGG
rnacentral:rRNA from 1 species